rnacentral:rRNA from 1 species
UACGUAGGGUGCAAGCGUUGUCCGGAAUUAUUGGGCGUAAAGAGCUCGUAGGCGGUCAGUCGCGUCUGCUGUGAAAACUCGGGGCUUAACUCCGGGCCUGCAGUGGGUACGGGCUGACUAGAGUGCGGUAGGGGAGACUGGAAUUCCUGGUGUAGCGGUGAAAUGCGCAGAUAUCAGGAAGAACACCCGUGGCGAAGGCGGCUCUCUGGGACGGUACUGACGCUGAGACGCGAAAGCGUGGGGAGCGAACAGG